rnacentral:rRNA from 1 species
UACGAAGGGGGCUAGCGUUGCUCGGAAUCACUGGGCGUAAAGGGUGCGUAGGCGGGUUUUUAAGUCAGGGGUGAAAUCCUGGAGCUCAACUCCAGAACUGCCUUUGAUACCGAAGAUCUUGAGUCCGGGAGAGGUGAGUGGAACUGCGAGUGUAGAGGUGAAAUUCGUAGAUAUUCGCAAGAACACCAGUGGCGAAGGCGGCUCACUGGCCCGGUACUGACGCUGAGGCACGAAGGCG